rnacentral:rRNA from 1 species
UGGGGAAUAUUGGACAAUGGGCGAAAGCCUGAUCCAGCAAUGCCGCGUGAGUGAUGAAGGCCUUAGGGUUGUAAAGCUCUUUUACCCGGGAAGAUAAUGACUGUACCGGGAGAAUAAGCCCCGGCUAACUCCGUGCCAGCAGCCGCGGUAAUACGGAGGGGGCUAGCGUUGUUCGGAAUUACUGGGCGUAAAGCGUACGUAGGCGGCUUUGUAAGUUAGAGGUGAAAGCCCUGGGCUCAACCCCGGAAUUGCCUUUAAGACUGCAUCGCUUGAACGUCGGAGAGGUGAGUGGAAUUCCGAGUGUAGAGGUGAAAUUCGUAGAUAUUCGGAAGAACACCAGUGGCGAAGGCGGCUCACUGGACGACUGUUGACGCUGAGGUACGAAAGCGUGGGGAGCAAACA